CGGACGGGUGAGUAAUGUCUGGGAAACUGCCUGAUGGAGGGGGAUAACUACUGGAAACGGUAGCUAAUACCGCAUAACGUCGCAAGACCAAAGAGGGGGACCUUAGGGCCUCUUGCCAUCGGAUGUGCCCAGAUGGGAUUAGCUAGUAGGUGGGGUAAGGCUCACCUAGGCGACGAUCCCUAGCUGGUCUGAGAGGAUGACCAGCCACACUGGAACUGAGACACGGUCCAG
rnacentral:rRNA from 1 species